rnacentral:sRNA from 1 species
CAGAUUGACAAGGAGGUAGAAAUCCUUUAUUUAUCUUCAGAACAGCAUGGGCAGUGCAGUGACAGCCUCCCCACACUGCCCUGUCACUGUACCUCAAUGCUAACCUGCAGCUAUCAUCCAUAAGGAUGGAGAGGGAUAAUUUACCCUCCAUGGUGCAUUUACUUCUGGGCCUAC